GACGAACCGUGCGAACGUUAUUCGGAAUCACUGGGCUUAAAGCGCGUGUAGGCGGGGUGGCACGUCGGUCGCUGAAAGCCCCCGGCUCAACCGGGGAAGGGGCGCCGAUACGACCACCCUGGAGGGACGUAGGGGGACCUGGAACUUCCGGUGGAGCGGUGAAAUGCGUUGAGAUCGGAAGGAACGCCCGUGGCGAAAGCGAGGUCCUGGACGUUUACUGACGCUGAGACGCGAAAGCCAGGGGAGCAAACGGG
rnacentral:rRNA from 1 species